CAGUAGCCGCGGGAAUACGGAGGGUGCAAGCGUUAUUCGGAAUUACUGGGCGUAAAGCGCACGCAGGCGGUCUGACAAGUCAGAUGUGAAAUCCCCGGGCUUAACCUGGGAACUGCAUUUGAAACUGUCAGGCUGGAGUCUUGUAGAGGGGGGUAGAAUUCCAGGUGUAGCGGUGAAAUGCGUAGAGAUCUGGAGGAAUACCGGUGGCGAAGGCGGCCCCCUGGACAAAGACUGACGCUCAGGUGCGAAAGCGUGGGGAGCAAACAGGAUUAGAUACCCGUGUAGUCCCUGUCUCUUAUAC
rnacentral:rRNA from 1 species